rnacentral:rRNA from 1 species
CACGUAGGGUGCGAGCGUUGUCCGGAUUCAUUGGGCGUAAAGGGUGCGUAGGCGGCGCGGUAAGUCGGGUGUGAAAUCUCGGAGCUUAACUCCGAAACUGCAUUCGAUACUGCCGUGCUUGAGGACUGGAGAGGAGACUGGAAUUUACGGUGUAGCGGUGAAAUGCGUAGAUAUCGUAAGGAAGACCAGUGGCGAAGGCGGGUCUCUGGACAGUUCCUGACGCUGAGGCACGAAGGUCAGGGGAGCAAACGGG